rnacentral:rRNA from 1 species
UACAGAGGGUGCGAGCGUUAAUCGGAAUUACUGGGCGUAAAGCGCACGUAGGUGGCGACGUAAGUCCGCUGUGAAAGUCGGGGGCUCAACCCUCGAAUGCCGGUGGAUACUGUCGGGCUAGAGUACGGAAGAGGCGAGUGGAAUUCCUGGUGUAGCGGUGAAAUGCGCAGAUAUCAGGAGGAACACCUAUUGCGAAGGCAGCUCGCUGGGACGUAACUGACGCUGAGGAGCGAAAGCGUGGGGAGCAAACAGG